rnacentral:tRNA from 1 species
GGUAGAGUGGCUGAAUGAUUAGGCGAUAGAUUGUAAAUCUAUUUAUGGUUUGGUUUAUAAACCCUUUGCCA